rnacentral:rRNA from 1 species
CCUACGGGAGGCAGCAGUGAGGAAUAUUGGUCAAUGGGCGUAAGCCUGAACCAGCCAAGUCGCGUGAGGGAUGAAGGUUCUAUGGAUCGUAAACCUCUUUUAUAAGGGAAUAAAGUGCGGGACGUGUCCCGUUUUGUCUGUACCUUAUGAAUAAGGAUCGGCUAACUCCGUGCCAGCAGCCGCGGUAAUACGGAGGAUCCGAGCGUUAUCCGGAUUUAUUGGGUUUAAAGGGUGCGUAGGCGGCCUUUUAAGUCAGCGGUGAAAGUCUGUGGCUCAACCAUAGAAUUGCCGUUGACACUGGGAGGCUUGAGUAUGUUUGAGGCAGGCGGAAUGCGUGGUGUAGCGGUGAAAUGCUUAGAUAUCACGCAGAACCCCGAUUGCGAAGGCAGCUUGCCAAGCCAUGACUGACGCUGAUGCACGAAAGCGUGGGGAUCAAACAGGAUUAGAUACCCGGGUAGUC